rnacentral:sRNA from 1 species
AAGUUUAAGGCUGGCCCUCCGGGUGCCACAGCACACGAAACCGCGUUGGUUCUUCAGGUCGGUUUCGUGUGCUGCAUUGUUGACGCAUUUAUUUAUUGGUAACGCAUGAACCCCAUCGUAAUUAAUCGGCUUCAGCGGAAGCUGGGCUACACUUUUCAA